rnacentral:lncRNA from 13 species
AAAUUUCAAGGAUUUAUUAAAAUGACUGUUUUUGUUUUACUCUAGAUAAAACUGAGUCAGUCUGAGCCCUGCGGAGGAGCCCAGAACGAUUUCUGUUUGUCUCAGAGGCCUGCCUUGCUCUAUCUGUCUCAGAGGUUUGCCUCCACCUCCCGACCCUUGGCCCAGAAGUUUGCCUUCUCUCCCUUCCUUCCCCCUUGUUAGUGGCCUCUGAACCUAAGAAUCUGGCUCGGAACCCAAAUGAAAAUUGCAUGCAGAAUCCCAUCUAAGUCUUAGCAGCAGUGUUGCACUUGUUUUCUUCUUUAAACUUAGUGAAUACACAGCUAAAGGUUUAGUAUGUCACACAUAUUGUGCUCACCACUCUUCAUGAUGCAAAACUUCACUUCUAGAGUCCAGGACAACUUUCUAAAUUCCUCGCCAGGAAGUGCAUUGCAACACUGCUGAUCCUGGCCCUGUGGUUAAUUCUGCAGCUUUUGAAAAAACCCAAACUGGACAGAGAGUUGCUGAAUUUUUAUAAUGACAGAGGCUUCCAGGAGGAGUGACACGUAUCCCUGCUGGAUGAGCUCACAGUUCCAGUAGGAAGACACAAGCUGAAGGAUUGCAGCAGGAAUGACAUGCUUGCUUUCCAUUUGCCCUUCUGCCAUGAUUGUAUGUUUCCUGAAGCCUCCCAGCCAUACUUCCUCCUGUACAGCCUCUGGAACUGUGAGUCAGUUUAAACUUCUUUUCUUCCUUUAUUACCCAGUCUCAGGUGGUUCUUUAUGGAAAUGUGAGAAUGGGCUAAUACAUCAUUAUAGGACUUACUUCUUACUUCAUUCAAGUGACUACACAUAGGGUUUUCCCUUAGGAAUCUAAUUGCUUCUCCCCCAAGUCACCAAGUAUCACCUUACCUGGCUUUUUGCUUAUAGCAUUUAUUGCUGCAUCAUGUUCUAUGAUACAUUUAUAAUUCUAUUUCUCAAUUUUCUGUUUUACUAUUAAACCAUAGUCUUUAUGAGGAUGAGAACUAUUGUUUGCUAUUUUAUCUUUAAUAUAUGGAACAGCUUGCCAUAUAAUAACUGCCAGAUAAAUAGUUGUUGCAUAAAUAAAUUUACUUAUAAAAAAAGACA